rnacentral:rRNA from 1 species
UGAUCAUGGCUCAGAUUGAACGCUGGCGGCAGGCCUAACACAUGCAAGUCGAGCGGUAGCGGGAAGAGCUUGCUCUUUGCCGACGAGCGGCGGACGGGUGCGUAACACGUAGGAAUCUGCCCGGUAGUGGGGGAUAGCCCGGAGAAAUCCGGAUUAAUACCGCAUACGCCCUAAGGGGGAAAGCAGGGGAUCUUCGGACCUUGCGCUAUCAGAUGAGCCUGCGUCGGAUUAGCUGGUUGGUGGGGUAAAGGCCUACCAAGGCGACGAUCCGUAGCUGGUCUGAGAGGAUGAUCAGCCACACUGGGACUGAGACACGGCCCAGACUCCUACGGGAGGCAGCAGA